CUCGGAGUAGAGUCGUCUAUGGCUGAAAGAAGUUUGGAAGAGAUUCGGAGGAUAAUCGAUCACCGUGGAAAAUCGGCUAAUAGCGGAGUUCGGAGGGCGUUUGGAGCAGUCCGGUAGAUGGAUGAGGAAGCUCAUUAUCGGCGAAGUCCGGAUGGUAUUAUGGGAGCUCGGACGGUCGAGGGAGUUCGGAAAGACGCCACACA
rnacentral:lncRNA from 1 species